CCUACGGGAGGCAGCAGUGAGGAAUAUUGGUCAAUGGGCGCGAGCCUGAACCAGCCAAGUAGCGUGAAGGAUGACUGCCCUACGGGUUGUAAACUUCUUUUAUAAAGGAAUAAAGUGAGGCACGUGUGCCUGUUUGUAUGUACUUUAUGAAUAAGGAUCGGCUAACUCUGUGCCAGCAGCCGCGGUAAUACGGAGGAUCCGAGCGUUAUCCGGAUUUUUUGGGUUUAAAGGGAGCGUAGAUGGGAUGUUAAGUCAGUUGUGAAAGUUUGCGGCUCAACCGUGAAAUUGCAAUUGAUACUGGUAGCCUUGAGUGCAGAUGAGGUAGGCGGAAUUCGUGGUGUAGCGGUGAAAUGCUUAGAUAUCACGAAGAACUCCGAUUGCGAAGGCAGCUUACGAAACUGCCACUGACAUUGAUGCUCGAAAGUGUGGGUAUCAAACAGGAUUAGAUACCCUUGUAGUC
rnacentral:rRNA from 1 species